rnacentral:rRNA from 1 species
AUUGAACGCUGGCGGCAUGCCUUACACAUGCAAGUCGAACGGCAGCGCGGACUUCGGUCUGGCGGCGAGUGGCGAACGGGUGAGUAAUACAUCGGAACGUACCCUGUAGUGGGGGAUAACUAGUCGAAAGAUUAGCUAAUACCGCAUACGACCUGAGGGUGAAAGUGGGGGACCGCAAGGCCUCACGCAGCAGGAGCGGCCGAUGUCUGAUUAGCUAGUUGGUGGGGUAAAGGCCCACCAAGGCGACGAUCAGUAGCUGGUCUGAGAGGACGAUCAGCCACACUGGGACUGAGACACGGCCCAGACUCCUACGGGAGGCAGCAGUGGGGAAUUUUGGACAAUGGGGGCAACCCUGAUCCAGCAAUGCCGCGUGUGUGAAGAAGGCCUUCGGGUUGUAAAGCACUUUUGUCCGGAAAGAAAUCGCGCUGGUUAAUACCUGGCGUGGAUGACGGUACCGGAAGAAUAAGCACCGGCUAACUACGUG